rnacentral:rRNA from 1 species
CCUACGGGUGACAGCAGUGGGGAAUAUUGCACAAUGGGGGAAACCCUGAUGCAGCGACGCCGCGUGAGUGAGGAAGUAUUUCUGUAUGUAAAGCUCUAUCAGCAGGGAAGAAAAUGACGGUACCUGACUAAGAAUCCCCGGCUAACUACGUGCCAGCAGCCGCGGUACUACGUAGGGGGCAAGCGUUAUCCGGAUUUACUGGGUGUAAAGGGAGCGUAGACGGUUAAUCAAGUCAGAAGUGAAAACCUAGGGCUCAACCUUGGGACUGCAUUUGAAACUGAGUAGCUAGAGUGCAGGAGAGGUAAGCGGAAUUCCUAGUGUAGCGGUGAAAUGCGUAGAUAUUAGGAGGAACACCAGUGGCGAAGGCGGCUUACUGGACUGUAACUGACGUUGAGGCUCGAAAGCGUGGGGAGCAAACAGGAUUAGAUACCCGAGUAGUC